rnacentral:rRNA from 1 species
AUGCAAGUCGAACGAUGAAGCUCUUCGGAGUGAAUUAGUGGCGAACGGGUGAGUAACGCGUAGGAAUCUACCUUAUAGUUGGGGAUAACCCGGGGAAACUCGGACUAAUACCGAAUAAUCUCUUCGGAGGAAAGGCACUUGUGUCGCUAUUAGAUGAGCCUGCAUAAGAUUAGCUUGUUGGUGAGGUAAAGGCUCACCAAGGCUACGAUCUUUAGCUGGUCUGAGAAGAUGAUCAGCCACAUUGGGACUGAGACACGGCCCAGACUCCUACGGGAGGUAGCAGUAGGAAAUAUUGCACAAUGGGGGAAACCCUGAUGCAGCAAUACCGCGUGGAUGAUGAAGGCCUUCGGGUUGUAAAGUCCUGUCCUAGGGGAGGAAUAAUGACAGUACCCUAGAAGAAAGCACCGGCUAACUCCGUGCCAGCAGCCGCGGUAAUACGGGGGGUGCAAGCAAUAAUCGGAAUUAUUGGGCGUAAAGCGUACGCAGGCGGUUUAUUAGGUCAUAUGUGAAAGCCCUGGGCUCAACCUAGGAAUUGCAUAUGAAACCAAUAGUCUAGAGUACUAUAGAGGUAAGUGGAAUUUCUCGUGUAGCGGUGAAAUGCGUAGAUAUGAGAAGGGAACAUCAGUGGCGAAGGCGACUUACUGGAUAGAUACUGACGCU